UACAGAGGUCUCAAGCGUUGUUCGGAUUCAUUGGGCGUAAAGGGUGCGUAGGUGGCGCGGUAAGUCGGGUGUGAAAUCUUGGAGCUUAACUCCGAAACUGCAUUCGAUACUGCCGUGCUUGAGGACUGGAGAGGAGACUGGAAUUUACGGUGUAGCGGUGAAAUGCGUAGAUAUCGUAAGGAAGACCAGUGGCGAAGGCGGGUCUCGUGGACAGUUCCUGACGCUGAGGCACGAAGGCCAGGGGAGCAAACGGG
rnacentral:rRNA from 1 species